UUUACUUUUAAAAGUACAGUUGUGUUAAGGGCUCAUGAUAGUACAGAAGAUACAAACACUGAUAAGUAUGGGAUAGUGUGAAAGAGCAAGUCGGUUGUGGUGUGCCGGAACCGACGAUGAGGUAGGCCUGUAAAUAAAGAGGGCCCACCAAUAAGAAAUGUAUGAGAAAAAGGAGUUAAUAAAAGAGGAGUGGGUGGGAGGGUGAUGCAG